rnacentral:rRNA from 1 species
CCUACGGGAGGCAGCAGUGAGGAAUAUUGGUCAAUGGGCGGAAGCCUGAACCAGCCAAGUCGCGUGCGGGAUGAAGGCCCUACGGGUCGUAAACCGCUUUUGCACGGGGAUAACACCCUCCACUUGUGGAGGUCUGCAGGUACCGUGCGGAUAAGGGCUGGCUAAUUCCGGGCCAGCAGCCGCGGUAAUACCGAAGGCCCGAGCGUUUUCCGGAUUUUUUGGGGUUUAAGGGAGCGUAGGCGGGCGUUCAAGUCAGCUGUAAAAUUGCGCGGCUCAACCGCGCCCCGCCGUUGAAACUGGCGGCCUUGAGUGAACAAGAGGCAGGCGGAAUUCGUGGUGUAGCGGUGAAAUGCAUAGAUAUCACGCGGAACCCCGAUUGCGAAGGCAGCCUGCCGGCGUGCGACUGACGCUGAGGCACGAAAGUGCGGGUAUCAAACAGGAUUAGAUACCCGAGUAGUC